CUUAUUGUAGUUGAUAACAACGGUGGUUUUUCAUAUCAUUAGUCCUGGUUUAAAGUUGCCGGGCAAUAAGU
rnacentral:tRNA from 1 species